AACGAACGCUGGCGGCAUGCCUAACACAUGCAAGUCGAACGAGACCUUCGGGUCUAGUGGCGCACGGGUGCGUAACGCGUGGGAACCUGCCCUUAGGUUCGGAAUAACUCCCCGAAAGGGGUGCUAAUACCGGAUAAUUUCUUCGGACCAAAGAUUUAUCGCCUUUGGUUGGUCCCGAGUUGGAUUAGCUUGUUGGUAGGGUAAAAGCCUACGAAGGCGACGAUCCAUAGCUGGUCUGAGAGGAUGAUCAGCCACACUGGGACUGAGACACGGCACAGACUAGUACGGGAGGCAGCAGUGGGGAAUAUAGGAAAAUGGGGGAAAGCAUGAAAAAGCAAUGAGGGGUGAGUGAUGAAGGCAUUAGGGUAGUAAAGCUAUAUUAACCGGGAUGAUAAUGACAGUAACGGGAGAAUAAGCGCCGGCUAACUACGUG
rnacentral:rRNA from 1 species